AUGUACCACGCGUACACUGUGGUUGCUCCGCGCCGUCCGCCCCCACCUCACGACCGCUCGCUACGUUUUAUUAGCC
rnacentral:sRNA from 1 species